UUCAUUGGAACUUCUUUGAUGUAACCUGAAGACAACUGUCAGCACUUAAUAUUUCUAAGAAAAAUGCAAGCACAGCACAUGGCUUUUUACAAUUAGACAUACAUGGGUGUUUGCUUUGUUUCCCAAGAAGAUGACUGUGAGCCAAGGAUUAGAAGACUGCUCAUUUAUACAGGAAGUGAUCACAGGGAACAUUCCAAGAAGACAGGAUCAGGAAGAAAGCCAAUGAAAGCUUUGGGGGAAGUCUGCGAGACAGAAUAUGAUUCAGCUACCCCAAAGGAUGAGAAGGAAGCAGGGGUGUGCAUCCACCAACUCCCUAACCAAUGUUGACUGACAGCUGUCUUAAAGGAAUCUUUUGGUUGUACCUAACAAAGACAUCUUGAUAACUCCAAAAGCCUAAAAUAUUAUUGCUCAUGAAUUGAAGACAUGCUACAUAUGGAAGGGUAAUUUUUUUCUGGAAUGAAUCUUGGCCCAGAGUAGUAAUCUUUAUACUAUGUGGAAAAAAGAAAUUAGCUGAAUAUGAAUCACUCCAUUUUCUGGCUCAGAACUGAAAAUCCAAGCAGUGAAAUUCUUCCUCUUGACCCAGUCUAAAGGCAAUUGAAGGGUAUAUGCCGGGACGCCUCGGUGGC